GGGGAAAAUUAAUAAAUUAAAUUUAAUAAAAAAAAUUUUAAUAUUAAAAAGAAAAUGGGGGUUUGAGUAUUUUUAAUAGAAAAAAUUAAUAGUUUUAUAGUUAAAUAUUACUGUAAAGGAAUUUAUAAAUAAAUGAAAUAUAAUUAAUGAAAAAGUAAAUUUAAAUUAUUGUAUCUUGUGUAUCAGAGUUUAUUAAAUAAUAAUAAUUUAUUUAAAUAAAUCUCGAAUUUAAAAGAGUUAAUUAAUUAAAAAAGUUAAUGUUGUAUAAUUAUUUUAAAUAAUUAAUUAGAAAUGAAAUGUUAAUCGUUUUUAAAUAUAUCUAGUUUUUUCAGAAAAAAAUUUAAUUUUAAAUUUAAAUAAUUUUAUAAUUAUUUAAUUAAUUAUAAAAAUUUAAAUUUUAAUAUUUUAGGGGAUAAGCUUUAAAUUAAAAAUUUAUAAUUAAAAAUAUUUAAAAUUAAAAUUUUUAAAAUUUAUAUUGUUUAAAAAUUAUAGUUUAUUAUAAAAAAUUUUAUUAAAAAAUAAAAUUUAAAAUAAAAAAAUUUAAAUUUUUAUGAAAAAAUAAUUUAUAAUUUAAUAAAAUUAGAAAUAAUGAUAAAAUUAGUAUAAUAUAAUAAAUUAAAAAAAAAAUUAUAAAUAAUUAAAUUAAAGGAAUUCGGCAAAAAUUUAUAUUCACUUGUUUAUCAAAAACAUGUCUUUUUGAUAAUAAUUUAAAGUCUAAUCUGCCCACUGAUAUUAUAUUAAAGGGCUGCAGUAUAUUGACUGUACAAAGGUAGCAUAAUCAUUAGUCUUUUAAUUGGAGACUUGUAUGAAAGAUUUGAUGAAAUAUAAACUGUCUCUAAUUUAUGAUUAGAAAUUAAUUUUUUAGUUAAAAAGCUAAAAUAACAUUAAAAGACGAGAAGACCCUAUAGAGUUUUAUAUUUUAUUUAAUUAAUAUUAAAUAUAUAAUUAAAUAUAUUAAUUAAGUAAAAUAUUGUGUUGGGGUGAUAGAAAAAUUUAAUAAACUUUUUUUAAAUUUAGACAUAGAUAAGUGGUUAGUUGAUCCAUUAAUAAUGAUUAAAAGAAAAAAUUACCUUAGGGAUAACAGCGUAAUAUUUUUUUUUAGUACACAUAAAAAAAAAAGUUUGCGACCUCGAUGUUGGAUUAAGAUAAAAUUUAAAUGCAAAAGUUUAAAAUUUUGAUCUGUUCGAUCAUUAAAAUCUUACAUGAUCUGAGUUCAAACCGGUGUAAGCCAGGUUGGUUUCUAUCUUUAAUAAAAAAAAAUAUUUUAGUACGAAAGGAUCAAAUAUUUAAAAUAAUUUUAUAAUAAUGAAUAUUAAUAAUAUAGUUUA
rnacentral:rRNA from 1 species